GGCACCAUGUUAAAAUGGAGGCUUCUGUUUAUUGUUAGUGACAUCAGCCUCAUAGCUUUUAGACUGGAACCUUGUAGACAAAUUUCACCCGAACUAUUGUUUGGAUAUUUGACUCUAGUCCAGUUGAUAUUGGCGGAAGUUCCUGCCUCGGGAUGACAACGUGACGGAUUUUAGGAGACUCUCUUCAGGAACAGGUUUAAUAACAGUUUGGUUCCCAUCUUAUAAAUUCUGUUUGCAGUAUCAGCGUUUGUGUAAAGUGGGUUACUCCAUCAAACGCUCCAGUCCAUAGAGGAAACACGUGACUGUUGGAAAAUAGAUCAUUCCCUCCCCCUCCCCAUAUACUCUCUCUCUCACACACACACAGAGCGGGAACGGAAGGUUAUGGGAACGCUGCUUUUAUUAGAACGUCCCAGCGUCCUUUGCUCCAGUUUUUAAAGCCCCGAUGGAGCAGAAGAUCUGCUUUUAAAGAAAAGGCCUCGUUUUUACAGAAGUGCUUUGAUUGAACGCAGUACAACCUGCUGUGAGCCAGACUUUAUAGCACAGGAUCCUCGUCUGCACUCUACACAUGUGUGAAGUGUGCUUUUAUGGAAAUACUGACAGAAAUCCCAGCCGAGGCUCUGAAAACAGUGUGUCACGGCGGCCUUUUCCAGCUGUGGUCAUUACUUCCUCAGACGACGACUCAUUCAGCAACAGGAUCUCCAUUUUUACCCGUGUGACAUGUAGAGGAUGUGAGUUGUGAGACUGGGAGGAAGGAUCAGUCCACACAACAUCCUUAUGAAAAGAAAACAGGCUCGCUACCGUUCGAGCCGGUUUUCAGCCAUCUUUCAGUCUUUUUCCUCUGCAGACCCACGCCUUCCUUCCUUCCUGCACAUCACUCGCUUCUCAGGUUGCAGAGCUACAACCAUCCGUUUCUUUCCUUAUCCAUUUAUUUAUGAUGUCCUUUUAUUCAACACACCUCCCAGUUAUUUCAUUAAAUAUGUAUAUACUGUAUAUUACUUCACCAAACUAUACAGAGCUUUAAAUGUUGGCGUUUGCGCCCAGCUCUCCAAAUUCACUAUCAAUGCAUUUCCAAAACCAUUCAGUAUUUUACAAAAUUGUAUUUUGUUGUUUUGAAAUUCCUCUAAAAUCCAAUAAAUAAAUAAAUAAAUACAUACAUAAAAAUACAGACUGGCACCUUGUUGAGGAAUAUUUCCUUUCCUUCUACAGAGAAACUUCAGUUUCUCUAAAUACAAUUAUUAUGUAAGUUGUCUGUGAUUAAAACUUGCAGUCCUACAUG